AGGUUUUAAGGUGAAAAUUCACUUUUCGGAUGAGUUAUAAAGCACUCAUAUAUGAUAUUUAUGAAAUUUUUUUAUCCUCUUAUUUUACUCUU